GUGGGGAAUAUUGGACAAUGGGCGCAAGCCUGAUCCAGCCAUGCCGCGUGAGUGAUGAAGGCCUUAGGGUUGUAAAGCUCUUUCAGUGGGGACGAUAAUGACGGUACCCACAGAAGAAGCCCCGGCUAACUUCGUGCCAGCAGCCGCGGUAAUACGAAGGGGGCUAGCGUUGUUCGGAUUUACUGGGCGUAAAGCGCACGUAGGCGGAUCGUUAAGUCGGGGGUGAAAUCCUGGAGCUCAACUCCAGAACUGCAUUCGAUACUGGCGAUCUUGAGUCCGGAAGAGGUGAGUGGAACUCCUAGUGUAGAGGUGGAAUUCGUAGAUAUUAGGAAGAACACCAGUGGCGAAGGCGGCUCACUGGUCCGGUACUGACGCUGAGGUGCGAAAGCGUGGGGAGCAAACAGGAUUAGAUACCCCAGUAGUCC
rnacentral:rRNA from 1 species